rnacentral:rRNA from 1 species
AACGAACGCUGGCGGCAGGCUUAACACAUGCAAGUUGAACGCGUGUAGCAAUACACGAGUGGCGCACGGGUGAGUAACGCGUGGAUAUUUGCCUUUUGGUUUGGAAUAACCCCGGGAAACUGGGGGUAAUACCGGAUGGUUCCUUUGGGAUAAAGAUUUAUUGCCAAAAGAUGAGUUCGCGUACGAUUAGCUAGUUGGUGAGGUAAUGGCUCACCAAGGCGACGAUCGUUAGCUGGUUUGAGAGGACGAUCAGCCACACUGGGACUGAGACACGGCCCAGACUCCUUCGGGAGGCAGCAGUGGGGAAUAUUGGACAAUGGGGGCAACCCUGAUCCAGCCAUGCCGCGUGAGUGAUGAAGGCCUUCGGGUUGUAAAGCUUUUUUGGCGGGGACGAUGAUGACGGUACCCGCAGAAUAAGCCCCGGCUAACUUUGUG